rnacentral:tRNA from 2 species
GCUGAUAUGGCUCAGUUGGUAGAGCGCACCUUUGGUAAGGGUGAGGUCCCCAGUUCGACUCUGGGUAUCAGCACCA